CAUAUGAUAUCAUAUGACACUAAAAUUAAUGUUGCUUGAAAUUAUAUUGAAAACUAUCAAGAUUAUUCUAGUCUGCAUUGAAACGCGCGUCGCGUUGCCGGCGCUCGCGUACCGAGCGCCAACGCCAUCUAUCGAGCGUUAUUUCGUGAAAUCGGAGAACGCUCCAAGGAUUAAGGGCUCUUAACGGAGUUCCCUCUGCCAACAAACUGUCUUACAGUUUGGCAGAAGAAAAUAAAAUUGUAAAAUCAG